rnacentral:snRNA from 1 species
AGCUAAUUCUGUGUAGUAUCAAGU